AUUGAACGCUGGCGGCAUGCUUUACACAUGCAAGUCGAACGGUAACAGGCCGCAAGGUGCUGACGAGUGGCGAACGGGUGAGUAAUGCAUCGGAACGUGCCCAGUCGUGGGGGAUAACGCAGCGAAAGCUGUGCUAAUACCGCAUACGAUCUGGGGAUGAAAGCGGGGGACCGUCAGGCCUCGCGCGAUUGGAGCGGCCGAUGUCAGAGUAGGUAGUUGGUGGGGUAAAGGCUCACCAAGCCGACGAUCUGUAGCUGGUCUGAGAGGACGACCAGCCUCACUGGGACUGAGACACGGCCCAGACUCCUACGGGAGGCAGCAGUGGGGAAUUUUGGACAAUGGGCGCAAGCCUGAUCCAGCAAUGCCGCGUGCAGGAAGAAGGCCUUCGGGUUGUAAACUGCUUUUGUACGGAGCGAAAAGGCUCUCUCUAAUACAGGGGGCUCAUGACGGUACCGUAAGAAUAAGCACCGGCUAACUACGUGCCAGCAGCCGCCGUAA
rnacentral:rRNA from 1 species